UACGUAGGGUCCGAGCGUUGUCCGGAAUUAUUGGGCGUAAAGGGCUCGUAGGCGGUUCGUCACGUCGGGAGUGAAAACUCGGAGCUUAACUCCGAGCCUGCUUCCGAUACGGGCAGACUAGAGGUAGGCAGGGGAGAGCGGAACUCCUGGUGUAGCGGUGGAAUGCGCAGAUAUCAGGAAGAACACCGGUGGCGAAGGCGGCUCUCUGGGCCUUACCUGGCGCUGAGGAGCGAAAGCUAGGGGAGCAAACGGG
rnacentral:rRNA from 1 species